rnacentral:rRNA from 1 species
UACGUAGGGGGCAAGCGUUGUCCGGAUUUAUUGGGCGUAAAGAGCGUGUAGGCGGUUUGGUAGGUCCGUUGUGAAAACUCGAGGCUCAACCUCGAGACGCCGAUGGAAACCAUCAGACUAGAGUCCGGAAGAGGAGAGUGGAAUUCCUGGUGUAGCGGUGAAAUGCGCAGAUAUCAGGAGGAACACCCGUGGCGAAGGCGGCUCACUGGCCCUAUACUGACGCUGAGGCACGAAAGCGUGGGGAGCAAACAGG